rnacentral:rRNA from 1 species
CACUCCUGCGGGAGGCAGCAGUGGGGAAUUUUGGACAAUGGGGGCAACCCUGAUCCAGCAAUGCCGCGUGAGUGAAGAAGGCCUUCGGGUUGUAAAGCUCUUUUGUCAGGGAAGAAACGGUAGUAGCGAAUAACUAUUACUAAUGACGGUACCUGAAGAAUAAGCACCGGCUAACUACGUGCCAGCAGCCGCGGUAAUACGUAGGGUGCAAGCGUUAAUCGGAAUUACUGGGCGUAAAGCGUGCGCAGGCGGUUGUGUAAGUCAGAUGUGAAAUCCCCGGGCUCAACCUGGGAAUUGCAUUUGAGACUGCACGGCUAGAGUGUGUCAGAGGGGGGUAGAAUUCCACGUGUAGCAGUGAAAUGUGUAGAUAUGUGGAGGAAUACCGAUGGCGAAGGCAGCCCCCUGGGAUAACACUGACGCUCAUGCACGAAAGCGUGGGGAGCAAACAGGAUUAGAAACCCCGGUAGUCCCAUGAU